UUGGGGCCUGAGUAUCAGAGGGGAAAGUGGAAUUCCCUAGUGGAGCGGUAAAAUGCACAGAGAUUAGGAGGAACACCGGUGGCGAAGGCGACUUUUCUGGCUGACAACUGACGCUGAGGCGCGAAAGCGUGGGGAGCAAACAGGAUUAGAUACCCUGGUAGUCCACGCCGUAAACGAUGAUUACUGGGUGUAGGGAGUAUCGACUCUCUCUGUGCCGAAGCAAACGCGAUAGGUAAUCCACCUGGGGAGUACGGCCGCAAGGCUAAAACUCAAAGGAAUUGACGGGGACCCGCACAAGCAGUGGAGUAUGUGGUUUAAUUCGAGGCAACGCGAAGAACCUUACCAGGGAUUGACAUCCUGCGCUAGGCCUGGAGACAGGUUGUUCCUUCGGGACGCAGAGACAGGUGGUGCAUGGUUGUCGUCAGCUCGUGUCGUGAGAUGUUCGGUUAAGUCCGGCAACGAGCGCAACCCUUGUUGUCAGUUACCAUCAUUAAGUUGGGGACUUUGGCGAGACUGCCGUUGACAAAACGGAGGAAGGUGGGGAUGACGUCAAAUCAUCAUGCCCCUUAUAUCCUGGGCUACACACGUACUACAAUGGGCGUUACAGCGGGCAGCCACACCGCGAGGUGGAGCGAAUCCCGAAAGGCGUCCUCAGUUCGGAUUGCAGGCUGCAACUCGCCUGCAUGAAGUCGGAAUUGCUAGUAAUGGCAGGUCAGCAUACUGCCGUGAAUACGUUCCCGGGUCUUGUACACACCGCCCGUCACACCAUGAGAGUCUGUAACACCCGAAGUCAGUAGUCUAACCUGAUUAGAUUAGGGGGACGCUGCCGAAGGUGGGAUAGAUAAUUGGGGUGAAGUCGUAACAAGGUAACCGUA
rnacentral:rRNA from 1 species